UACAGUCUAGCGUGAAAUCUACAUCGUGUAACAUUGAAACAAACUUAUUCAUCAACCAAUAAACAUUCAGGUUUCAAAUCCAGUUACUGUUUUGCAAACAUUCAAAUUCAUUCAAGAACUCUCACUUUGGCUAUUUCUCUGCACUUUGUUGGAAGAUGUAGACGAAUUGAUACCAAGCAAAUACAUUCUACUUGAAGCAUAAUUCUUGCUACUGAUGUUUUACCUAUAAAAAUGGAAGCUAAAAGGGAACUUGAGGUGAAGUUCCAUGAAUUCAGAAAGAAAAAGAUUCUCAAUGAGGAGGAGAUGCAGUUUUUACUACAAAAGUGGCAGUUUGUCAAAGGAAUCAACAGUUGAGGAAGCUGAUGUUUCAGUUGCUGUACCCCUGACAGAAUAAGUGUACAAAACAAGAUAGCCUCAGACAGAACCAGCUUUUCUUGAUUCUGUCUUAUGGACAAAUUAAAAGGUACCUGAUGAUGACAAAACCUCGUUGAAACGUUGUACAUUUGCUGUUAUGUUAAACUUAUAUUAAAGUUUUUCUUCAUUACCCAUUCAAGCCAUCUCCAGCCAUUAUGACUCUAACUAUGAUAUACUUUUUAAGGUUAGAUUUAUCAUAGACCAUCUGUUAAACUCUUUUGUUUCCCACUACUCUCCUAACAGAGAACUAACUACAGAUAAACAGAUGCUGGGCACAAAAUAUAGAAUUGGUUUCUUUCAAUAUUUACCAAAUAAACCUGUCAAGUGGGGAAUCAAUGUGUGGGUCCUGGCAGAAGCUAUGAGUGGAUACUGUCUGAAGUUUAAAAUCUACACAGGCAAAGAGGGACAAAUGCCAGCUAAAGGUUUAGCAUACAGUGUUGUGAUGGAACUGAUGGACAAGUACAACAGACUAGGAUACUGGGUUUUCAUGGACAACUUUAACAUUUUCCCUUGUUUAUUAGACAAACUAUUGACUAUAGGAACCUAUGCUUGUGGGAAAGACAGACUGUAUUUCCCACAGCAACUUGUUUCUACAAACCUACAGAGAGGGGAAGCAGAUUUUGUUUAUGUGGAACUCUGACAGCUGUGAAGUGGACUGACAUACGAGACAUUUAUGCACUUUCUACUUUACACUGUAAUACUAUGACGAGAAGAGGGAGGGAUGCUGAGGUUACAAAACCUCAGUUAAUUGUGGACUACAACAAGUUUAUGGGAGGGGUGGACCUGAAUGACCAACACUUAAGUUACUAUUCUAUUGGACAAAGAACAAUAAAAUUUUAUAAAAUUUGUUUAUUUUUUUAACUUUUGGACUUGACAUUUAUAAAUGCUUAUAUUUUGUACAAAUGACAAACCAAUCAGCUGGCAUUAUCUCAGAAGGCCUUCAAAAUGGACCUGGUCACAACUCUUAUUGAGCCUCUACUUCAAAGCAGACCAGGUCCUUCUGGUAUACCACUAUCAAGAACUGCACAGGACUCAUCACCUCUGAGAUUCACUCUUGGCAGGCAUUAACCAACAACUGUUGAUAGAAGUCACAGGAAGAGAUGCAAACUGUGCCUCCCAGAAAAUAUAAUAACAAUCCAAUGUAAACUGUGUAAUGAAUAUCUCUGUAUUAAAUAUUUUGAAGAGUAACAUAUUAAUGUUACUCUUCAAAGAUGUUAAUUCUUUAUCUAUGCCUGCUCUCUUCCUUUGUUUAAUUUUUUUUCUCUAAAUAUUUUAACGUUUGUAUUUCAAAGUACAACAGUGGUUACUUUUUUACUUUAAAUUUUGACUGAAAUAUUUUGUAAAGUUUUCUUUUGUUAUUGAUACAGUAGUGAUGCUCCCUUUCAUGUGUCAAAAUCAGUUUACAAUGUCUAAAAUGUUUGUAGUAAAAUACCAAUGUAAACUUGUAUUCAUUGAUACAGUCUUUCCUGUGCACAACAUUAGGUAUGUUUUCAUUCCAUUGUUGAUCCUUUCAUUCUGGUUGUUCCUUCUAUCAUGUGUCAACAUUUGUAUACAUUUUGGUAUGUUAGAAUGUGUAUAACUUGAUAUUAAUUCAUGCAAUUUGUAUGUGCAUUAUUCAUCUUAAAGAUGUAUAUCAUUUGUACAUAACUUUAUUCUGCAGACGUGUAGUGUUGUAUCUUUCUAAACUGUUAUGAAUAAAGCUUUUUGUAGGUUUUCUAGCUUC
rnacentral:lncRNA from 1 species